CCACAUAGCGGUCAUAGGCCAUCACCAGCAGAAGAAAGACCUCUGAUCCACCAAAAAAGUGCUCUGUAAAGAGCUGAGCCAUACAAGAUUGGAAGGAUAUGGUAUUUUCCCCAAAGAACAAGUUUGAAAUCAGUUUGGGGGAUAUAGAUGAGGAAUAAAUGACAUCUAUAAAUGACAAGCUACCAAGAAAAAAGUACAUUGGUGAGCCCAGGCUCUUACUGAAAGUUACAGUCACAACAAUGAGCAUGUUGCCUAUCAUGGUCAAAAUAUAGAAGAGCAAGAACAUAAAAAAAAGAACUGUCUGCUCCUUUGUAUUCUGCGUGAGACCCAAGAGGACAAAGUACACAAAGGGACAUUCUUAAGUUUUCUAGGAAUAAACAACUAUCUAAGAGGUGUUUUCAUGGAAAUCAAACCAACAAAUGCAUCACUUUCAAGUCUUUGGAGGUACGGGGCCAAUAUAUAUCAGAGAAUAAGAGAGAUUCUGGUAUGCUAAGAAGAUUGGAGACCAUUCCAGCCCCAAGACUCUUUCAAGGCCAUUCAAUUUUCAGAGUGUUCUUCUCAGCAGGGAUAGAGAAAUCAUGUAUACCUCUUUUUAAAUCCAAAAAAAAGUUAGCUUAACAUUCUAGGCCAGGUGAAUAGUUUCCUAACAAUUUAAAAUAUUGCAGCAAUAAAAUGUGUUCAUAAUAACUAAAAAUUUGAGAAUUUGGUUGUCUAAGAGUUUAUAUAAAUUAUUUUAUUUGAUCUUGGGAAUAUCUCCAUCAUUCCUCGCUAACUGAAACCAAAAGGUGUCAUAUUUUGCCAAAAUUAACAUGACACACAGCAAAGCUAUGAUUGUCUAACCCAAUCACUAUGCUCUUACCCGUUAUAGUGUAAUAAGCCCUAUCACCCUUUCCUCAAAAAUGUACAUAAAAUACAUGAUACAUAAAAUCUCCUUCACAGGGAAAAACAGAAAAAUAAUGCUCUCAAUGUGAAUGAUUAGUUAAGAUUAUAAUAGCCAUGAGUUUUAGUCCAAUUUGUGUACUAAAAAUAGACAGUAGAACUUUCCUUUUGGGAGAAGAAAGAGAAAACGAAAGAAUCAG
rnacentral:lncRNA from 1 species